UUCGCCCUUAGAGUUUGAUCCUGGCUCAGGAUAAACGCUAGCGGCGCGCCUAAUGCAUGCAAGUCGAGCGAUGAUCCUUCGGGGUCAUAGCGGCAGACGGGUGAGUAACACGUGGGUGACCUGCCCCAAAGCCGGUGGAUAACGACUGGAAACGGUUGCUAAUACCCGAUGUGCUCGGUAAUUCGUUUUACCGAGUAAAGUUCCGGCGCUUUGGGAGGGGCCCGCGGCCCAUCAGCUAGUUGGUGAGGUAAUGGCCCACCAAGGCAUUGACGGGUAGGGGGCGUGAGAGCGCGGCCCCCCACACUGGCACUGAGACACGGGCCAGACUCCUACGGGAGGCAGCAGCAGGGAAUUUUGCGCAAUGGGCGAAAGCCUGACGCAGCGACGCCGCGUGGGCGAUGAAGGCCUUCGGGUUGUAAAGCCCUUUUCUGGGGGAAGAGAGAGGACGGUACCUCAGGAAUAAGCGUCGGCUAACUACGUGCCAGCAGCCGCGGUAAUACGUAGGACGCGAGCGUUAUCCGGAAUCAUUGGGCGUAAAGAGCGUGUAGGCGGCUAGGCAAGUCAGAUGUGAAAUCCCUGGGCUUAACCCGGGAAGUGCAUUUGAAACUGCUUAGCUUGAGUAUCGGGGAGGAUAGCGGAACUCCUGGUGUAGCGGUGAAAUGCGUAGAUAUCAGGAGGAACGCCGGUGGCGAAGGCGGCUAUCUGGCCGAAUACUGACGCUCAGGAGCGAAGGCCGGGGGAGCAAACAGGAUUAGAUACCCUGGUAGUCCCGGCAGUAAACGAUGGGUACUAGGUGUUGGAGGGAAUUGACCCCUUCAGUGCCGCAGCUAACGCAUUAAGUACCCCACCUGGGGAGUACGACCGCAAGGUUGAAACUCAAAGGAAUUGACGGGGGCCCGCACAGGCAGUGGAGUAUGUGGUUCAAUUCGACGCAACGCGAAGAACCUUACCUGGGUUUGAAAUGUGUUGGAAAGCCUCAGAGAUGAGGCCCCUCCGCAAGGAGUCGACACAUAGGUGCUGCAUGGCUGUCGUCAGCUCGUGCCGUGAGGUGUUGGGUUAAGUCCCGCAACGAGCGCAACCCCUGUUUCUAGUUACCAGCGGUUCGGCCGGGGACUCUAGAAAGACUGCCGGUGACAAGCCGGAGGAAGGUGGGGAUGACGUCAAGUCCUCAUGGCCCUUAUGUCCAGGGCUACACACGUACUACAAUGGCCGAUACAGAGGGUCGCAAGACCGCGAGGUGGAGCCAAUCCCUAAAAUCGGCCUCAGUUCAGAUUGGAGUCUGCAACUCGACUCCAUGAAGUUGGAAUUGCUAGUAAUCGCGAAUCAGCACGUCGCGGUGAGUACGUUCCCGGGCCUUGUACACACCGCCCGUCA
rnacentral:rRNA from 1 species